UAGCCGUAAACGAUACUCGCUAGGUGUCGGCCACGGUGCGACCGUUGUCGGUGCCGUAGGGAAGCCGUGAAGCGAGCCACCUGGGAAGUACGGCCGCAAGGCUGAAACUUAAAGGAAUUGGCGGGGGAGCACCGCAACGGGAGGAGCGUGCGGUUCAAUUGGAUUCAACGCCGGACAACUCACCAGGAGCGACAGCAGUAUGAUUGCCAGGUUGAUGGCCUUGCUUGACAAGCUGAGAGGGGUGCAUGGCGUAGUCGUGU
rnacentral:rRNA from 1 species